rnacentral:rRNA from 1 species
UACGUAGGUGGCAAGCGUUGUCCGGAUUUAUUGGGUUUAAAGGGUGCGUAGGCGGCCUUGUAAGUCAGUAGUGAAAUACUCCAGCUUAACUGGAGGGGUGCCAAUGAUACUGCAGGGCUUGAGUAUGGUAGAGGUUGGUGGAACUGCGAGUGUAGAGGUGAAAUUCGUAGAUAUUCGCAAGAACACCAGUGGCGAAGGCGGCUCACUGGCCCGGUACUGACGCUGAGGUGCGAAAGCGUGGGGAGCAAACAGG